rnacentral:ncRNA from 1 species
GAGAAAAAUGUAAAAAAAUAGUCCGUGUGUCGAAAUCCAAAAUGUGUCGACAUCCGUUAGAUUCAUCCUAAUGCUUUAUUUUCAUUAGACAGUCGGAUUCCCCUGCUCCGUGUCAGUUCUGAAUUGAUUGUUUGUUGAUGGUCCUUGAAAAUCCCUUUACUGUGCCUAAUUAGAGUUCUGACUCUCUUAAUAGCCAAAUGCAUCGUCAUCUAAUUAGUGACACGGAUGAAUGGAUUAAAGAGAUUCCUACUGUCCAUAUCUACCAUCUAGCGAAACCACAGCAAAGGGAACGGGCUUGGAAUCAUUUGCGUUGAAAUAAACCCUUGCUAAACUUCAACUUAGCACUGCAGAGAACUCUUCAACGAUAAUUAACAGAUAAUCAAUUUAGAACUGGCACGGGCCAGAGGAAUCCAAUUGUCUAAUUAAAACAAAGCAUUGUAAUGGCUCUAACGGGUGUUGACACAAUGUGAUUUCUGCUCAGUGUUUUGAAUGUCAAUGUAAAGAAUUUCAAGAAAGCUCGGGUAAACGGCGGGAGUAACUAUGACUCUCUUAAUAGUCAAAUGCAUCGUCAUCUAAUUAGUGACGCGCAUGAAUGGAUCAACGAGAUUCCUACUGCCCCUAUCUACCAUCUAGCAAAGCCACAGCUAAGGCACUAACUUGC